AGCUUAAGCAGAUAGAUGACGCCAUGAAUGAGGUGCAGAAAAAGAAGAGUGAAAAUUUAACAAUAGGAGGAAAAAAGAAAUGAGGAAGCUGGAAUCUCAUCAGAGGCAGUAAAAAGUGUGAAAUGAGUGAAAUCUUGGCCGUCUGCUCAGAAAAUCCAAAGCAUCUUUCAGGGAAUUGAACCAUGUACAGCUCAGCUAUGAACCAUUUGUGUUGUUUUUAUUUGGUUUUGUAAAAGUAUAAACAGUAUACAGGAUGUACAGAUUUUUAGUCACUUCUACUAAAAUAAAAUAAAAUA